AGGUGCGAAAACUACAUCUCUUCCGUCGUAGGAGAGCUUCCUGGUUACCUUGGUGAGGGGGCGGCUGGCGAAGAUGAGGUCGUGAUCUCGCGCGCUGCAUCGGCCGACGAGGCCACCAGAACGGGGACGCUGCCGAAGUGGAGCAGCAUAAUCGGGCCAACAAUCCCAGAUUUUGAUGAGAGCAGAGUAGCGGAGCAGAGCAGCGGAGCGGAGCAGAGCAGCGGAGCCUAGCAGAGCAGAGCAGAGGGAUCGCGCUGCUGCCCAGAGCAGAGGGACAGCGUUGCUGCCAGAGUGUGUUGCCAGAGCAGAGACGACAUUGCCAGAGCUAACUUUAUCAUCGAGUUGGGCUUCAUUUCUCUAUUUUGUGGGCUUUAAAGUUAGGCUCAAUUAGGUAUCUAUAUAUAGAGGGUUUAACAUUAGCAUGAGGGGAAUCAAUUCAUUCUACCACUCCACUUGUUAUAUUUUAUCACUUGGGCAAAAUCAUGAUUUAUAUGAUCUUUGAUGGGAUUUAUGAAAUUAUAAUGCUAUCUUGGAAGUUGCACAACUUCUGCAUAUGUGCUUAGAUUUGAAACGGGAAUUCACUUUGAUACGAAACUGCACAACUUUCGCAUAUGUGCUAAAGUAUAAAUUGGAUGCGUGAUUUUAGGAAUUUCGCGGUGUGGUCUCGUUCACUUUAAUUAUUUCAUUUUGCGUUGCAUACUUUACUUAACAUGUUCAUGCAGAGCAUUGCACAUGUCACUAGAGGGGGAGUAGGGUAUAUACCCAUAAUUCAUAAUUUCAAUCCAAAUUGCUGCUUAGCAAGUCAAGGGGAAGACAAAUAUCCAGGAUCAACAUCUACAUAAAGGGAAAAGUAGAGGGUUCGUCUUAACCGUAAGCCACGAAAGUUGGAUGCAUCCCCCGGAUCAUCCAUGCACCGUGCAGGGUGUUCUCUUAACCGUAAGCCACGAAAGUUGGAUGCAUCCCCCGGAUCAUCCAUGCUCCGUGCAGGGUGUUCUCUUAACCGUAAGCCACGAAAGUUGGAUGCAUCCCCCGGAUCAUCCAUGCUCCGUGCAGGGUGUUCUCUUAACCGUAAGCCACGAAAGUCGGAUGCAUCCCCCGGAUCAUCCAUGCUUCGUGCAGGGUGUUCUCUUAAUCGUAAGCCGCAAAAGUCGGAUGCACCCCUUGGGUCAUCCCUGCUCCGCGCAGAGGGUUCGUUUAACCAUAAGCCACGAAAUUUAAGCGGGCCCCUUUGACCGUCUAUGCUCCGUGCAGGGUGUUCUUUGCUAAUCGUAAGCCGCGGAAGUUAGUUGGGUCCCUAUGACCAGCUAUGCUCCGCGCAAAGUGUUCCAGCCAUCAUGAGGGAAGAGUUGAAGAAACGCAUGCUAAGGAGAAGUCAGAGCCACGAGGAUCAGAGAAGUCACAGUAACAUCAACAACACCACUAGUUGAGCAAAGAGAACACUGUUCAACUAGACUAGGGGGAGUAGCUGAUAAGGAGUAAUAUGUGCAGAGCAGAGUAGCGGAGCAGAGCAGAGCAGCGGAGCCUAGCAGAGGGAUCGCGCUGCUGCCAGAGUGCGUUGCCAGAGCAGAGCUACCAGAGACGACCUUGCCAGAGCUAACUUUAUCAUCGAGUUGGGCUUCAUUUCUCGAUUUUGUGGGCUUUAAAGUUAGGCAUAAUUAGGUAUCUAUAAAUAGAGGGUUUAGCAUUAGCAUGAGGGGAAUCAAUUCAUUCUACCACUCCACUUGUAAUAUGUAAAAUACUCUUGAGAUAGUGAAACCAACAAAAAACCUCCCGUUGACGUAGGUAUUCAUGACCGAACCACGUAAAUCUUGUCUCGUGUAUUGCUUUCUAGUUUAGGUGUUGAUUUCUUGUUUCACCAACUGGCGCCGUAUGUGGGAAUUUGAGCUAAGGCGUGAGUGUUUUUCGGCUACUGUUCAUCGAAAAAAAUACAAUUCAUCUUCUCCGAUCUAUUCUGUCACUUUUCCGGCAAUAUCAGCCACUGAAACAGAGGCAAACCUCCUUCACAAAAAAUGAAAACAUCCUGCCAAUAUCACCGAUGACCCCCUUCGAAAAAUCGAGGUUCACCUAUUUCAGUUCCCCAAAAACUGAUCACUUCUCGAUUUCCUCAGUAAAUCCCCCAAAAAAUUCGAUCCAGAAGCGAAAAUCUGAAAUCCUCAAAGAAAAGGCCCCAAUCUCCACAAAUUCCCUUUAUUCCAGCCUAAAUCGCUGCUCACUAGGUUCUCCGGCACCCAAAUAUGAAAUCCAGCCUACCAUCGUCAUUAUUUCUCUCUCUCGUAAAACACCAGAAAAAUUUCCCCUCAAAUCCACAUCGUGGUUCUCUCUGAAAAUUUCCCUGAACUCCAAAGCCUUCUGCCGCGCAAACAUUUGGAAUCAACCCAUCUUUCACCCUCUCCAGUCAGACUAGUCUCUCUCUCUCAAAAUCAGAAGACCGCUCACCAGACGCUCCUCGUCUGCUUUCCCUCUUCAAGUACCCGCGAAAUCUAACCUGCUAAAAAGACCGGCAAAAGGUCGACCUUGCUUCCGACGUAGCUCGAACCCUAGCUUCCUCCCUGUUCAAGCGGUUCACCGCUGACCAAAGGACGCCCCGCCCCCGUCGGGAGAACGCCACCCCUCAGCAGCCAGCGAAUCGCCGUCCCUCCGCAACCGCGCGGAGCUCAAUCCUGAAUUGCAAUUUCUGGCGAACCCCAGCUGUGCUCAAUUUUGCAAGGCUAAGUGCAUUUUUACGAUUUCCUCCAUCAAAUUGGGGUCCUGAUUUCCACUUUUGAAGCAUAUAAGCAUGUUUACAAUAAGACUAACACUUACCUUUGAACCUGGUUUUAGCUGCAAAACUUGAGCAAAUUGGGUUUAUGCUAUUUAGCUGCAAAUUGAGCAAAUUGGAGCACUACUAAAAUUUCUGGAUGAUUAAGAUUUAAUUUGAUGUAUAGUAUGCUACAUAGGGUUUGUUAAUUGCUCUGAAAUUUCUAUCUGAUAUCCACAAAAUCUGGUUCUAUUGAGUUUUAGUGAGUAAAAAUGAGCUCUGAUUAUGUGUUCUGCUUCUACUUGUUAUUCCCGACUUAGGGAGGAACUGAGCUGCAAUCUUGAGGCUGAUCUUUUACUGGAUAUUUCCCAUGAGCUCUCGAAGUAGGAGUUGCAUGUGUGGUCUGAGAUGCUGAAAGGGAACAGGGUAGGAGUCGCAAAUGUGGUUGGAAAAAUAGCUAUGCUAUGUGGAAAAUAAACACCGUUCCUUUAAUCUCAGCUACGACUGAGAAACCCACAACCGACCACCGCCGUAGGCGCUUCCAGCUACCUCAGCCAGCCUCUAGCCGACUACGAACGUUGCAGAAAUUCCCAAGAGGGAACGCAAUGGAAUUCCCAAUCCAAAUCCCAAUGGGGAUAACCCCAUCGCUGAAGAAUGUCUCUGCCUCUCGAUUAAUAAAGAAAAAGAAGCUAAGCUAUCUUUGGUUUUCUCCCUCUCAAGUCAAUAUGGUCUUGAACUAACUCGGAAAGGAUGAAAUUUGAAUAUCCAUCUUUUGCUUUGCUUUGCUUUGGUAUUUAAUUUGAGGUUCUAUGGGAAAACAUGCAUAUACUUACGCCAAAUUGCAGGGAUGCUCGGCCAGCCGUGACCUAACUUCAACCAGCUCUGGCAAACGUGGGUCUAGGAUGGAAGCUUGACAAGCUUAUAUAGCAUGGGAUAUUGAGAUAGACAAGGCAAUCAGUGGAGCUAAGAGAAGCUGAUGAAUUAGCUAACAAAGAACAGUAGCAACUGCGGGAGAGCAGUGCUUUUUUCCGAUCCAAAUCCAAAAUCCUCGUUGGCGAUUCUUAUGCUGCCAUGAAAGCUAGGGGAUGACCGUCUUCAUCCGUCUUUCCAAAAUACCUGGAACAGGGAGUAACGACUCGAAAUCUCUUAUUGAGAUUGAAAUUUUCUACAAUAUUUAUGGUUGUAAAUCCCGUUGUAGAACUGCACUUGUGAUUUUAACUUUCUCUGCCUUUGCUUGAUGUGGGAUAUUUGAUUUGAACUAUUGUUGAUUAAAUUCAUGCGGAGACAUGAAUGAGGUUAGGGAAGGAAAAUGGGCGGAGCAGUGGAUAUUAUUCUUGGAAAGCCUAUUAUGAUUGCAGCCUGUGAACUCUCGUUAUUUAAUUUCAUUCAUUACUUUGUAUAUGAGCCGACGUUAUUGGGAUGAUAUAUUCUGAUGGGAUACUUUGCCAA